rnacentral:tRNA from 2 species
GGUCCCGUAGCUCAAUGGUAGAGCAGCGCCCUCUUAAGGCGAUGGUUGGAGGUUCGAGCCCUCCCGGGAUCACAA